UACAUGGGGUGCAAACGUUGCUCGGAAUCAUUGGGCGUAAAGCGCGCGUAGGCGGUUACUUAUGUCGGAUGUGAAAGCCCUCGGCUUAACUGAGGAAGUGCAUUCGAAACUGGGUAGCUAGAGUACUAAAGAGGGUCGCGGAAUUCCCGGUGUAGAGGUGAAAUUCGUAGAUAUCGGGAGGAACACCGGUGGCGAAGGCGGCGACCUGGGUAGAUACUGACGCUGAGGCGCGAAAGCGUGGGGAGCGAACAGG
rnacentral:rRNA from 1 species